rnacentral:rRNA from 1 species
GACGAACGCUGGCGGCGUGCCUAAUACAUGCAAGUCGAACGCUGUUGGGACGGGUGAGUAACACGUGGGUAACCUCCCAUCAGAGGGGAUAACACUUGGAAACAGGUGCUAAACCGACACUGAUGGAUGGACCCGCGGUGCAUUAGCUAGUUGGUGAGGUAACGGCUCACCAAGGCAACGAUGCAUAGCCGACCUGAGAGGGGGAUCGGCCACACUGGGACUGAGGCACGGCCCAGACUCCUACGCGAGGCAGCAGUAGGGAAUCUUCGGCAAUGGGCGAAAGUCUGACCGAGCAGCGCCGCGUGGGUGAAAAAGGUUUUCGGAUCGUAAAGCUCUGUUAUGAGAAAAGCGGUAUCUGACCAGAAGGCCACGGCUAACUACGUGCCAGCAGCCGCGGUAAUUC